rnacentral:snRNA from 1 species
AUACCUUUCUCUGCCUUUUGGCUAAGAUCAAGUGUAUUAUCUGUUCUUAUCAGUUUAAUAUCUGACUAGCAAAUGUGCCCGUCCGCUGCAACGGGCAAAAUCAAAUUAUAAACAUUUAUAGAAAAACAAAGGACUAAAAAUAAACUUCUUUCUUCGGUCAAGGAAUGUAAAAUAGACUUCAUUGGCCUGCCCGAU